GGAAUUUACACUCAUGGUAAAUGUGUUUCAAUUUUUCUUUAUUUCUCUCCAGAAUGACUUCCAGUAACUGUAGACGCUGAUGAUCAAAUGGUACACAUGGGCAGUUAAAGAUUUUUGCAAAGGAAGGCUGCAUAAAUUUAAGGUGAUACGUAUGCAGCUCUGCCCUGAAGGCCUUUCACUGCCAGCUCCCCAGGUCCAGGUCCAUGCUCAACACUCAACCUGUUUACCAAACCACCUCUGGAGAGGCCAAGUUCAGGCUCCAUGAGGACAUAUCCAGACAUUUAGAGAAACAUCUCC
rnacentral:lncRNA from 1 species